GUGAGGAAUAUUGGUCAAUGGGCGAGAGCCUGAACCAGCCAAGUCGCGUGAAGGAAGAAGGAUCUAUGGUUCGUAAACUUCUUUUGCAGGGGAAUAAAGUGCAGGACGUGUUCUGUUUUGUAUGUACCCUGAGAAUAAGGAUCGGCUAACUCCGUGCCAGCAGCCGCGGUAAUACGGAGGAUCCGAGCGUUAUCCGGAUUUAUUGGGUUUAAAGGGUGCGUAGGUGGUUUGAUAAGUCAGCGGUGAAAGUUUGCAGCUUAACUGUAAAAAUGCCGUUGAAACUGUCGGACUUGAGUGUAAAUGAGGUAGGCGGAAUGCGUGGUGUAGCGGUGAAAUGCAUAGAUAUCACGCAGAACUCCGAUUGCGAAGGCAGCUUACUAAGCUACAACUGACACUGAAGCACGAAAGCGUGGGGAUCAAACAGGAUUAGAAACCCCAGUAGUCC
rnacentral:rRNA from 1 species